rnacentral:rRNA from 1 species
AACGACGCUGGCGGCGUGCCUAACACAUGCAAGUCGAACGAACGUAGCAAUACGUUAGUGGCGCACGGGUGAGUAACACGUGGGAAUCUGCCUUAUAGUUCGGAAUAACACCGGGAAACUGGUGCUAAUACCGGAUACGCCCUUCGGGGGAAAGUUUUCGCUAUAAGAUGAGCCCGCGUUGGAUUAGCUAGUUGGUGGGGUAAUGGCUCACCAAGGCGACGAUCCAUAGCUGAUCUGAGAGGAUGAUCAGCCACACUGGGACUGAGACACGGCCCAGACUCCUACGGGAGGCAGCAGUGGGGAAUAUUGGACAAUGGGGGAAACCCUGAUCCAGCAACGCCGCGUGGGUGAUGAAGGUCUUCGGAUUGUAAAGCCCUUUUGGCAGGGACGAUGAUGACGGUACCUGCAGAAUAAGCUCCGGCUAACUUCGUG